rnacentral:rRNA from 1 species
GGAAUAUUGGGCAAUGGAGGAAACUCUGACCCAGCGACGCCGCGUGCGGGAUGAAGGCCUUCGGGUUGUAAACCGCUUUCAGUAGGGAAGAAGCGAAAGUGACGGUACCUACAAAAAAAGCACCGGCUAACUAUGUGCCAGCAGCCGCGGUAAUACAUAGGGUGCAAGCGUUGUCCGGAAUUAUUGGGCGUAAAGAGCUUGUAGGUCGUUUGUUACGUCGGAUGUGAAAACCUGAGGCUCAACCUCAGGCCUGCAUUCGAUACGGGUAAACUAGAGUUUGGUAGGGGAGACUGGAAUUCCUGGUGUAGCGGUGGAAUGCGCAGAUAUCAGGAGGAACACCAAUGGCGAAGGCAGGUCUCUGGGCCAAUACUGACACUGAGGAGCGAAAGUCUGGGGAGCGAACAGGAUUAGAUACCCUGGUAGUCCAGACCGUAAACGGUGGGCACUAGUUGUGGGAACCUUCCACGGUUUCUGCGACGCAGCUAACGCAUUAAGUGCCCCGCCUGGGGAGUACGAUCGCAAGAUUAAAACUCAAAUGAAUUGACGG